GGACGGCUGGGUGUGCCUUUCCCAUGUCCCCGAGGGAUUUGCCAGUCCCCUCUGCCCGCGCCCCACGCUCGACCUCGAGAACAAGCAAAAAGGUCAAACCCUAGCCGCCAAACCUUCUCGUCCCGAGCCCCGCGCCCCCUUCGCCUCGUCUCCUCCCCGCUCCAUCCUCUCCCAUGCCGCCGCACCCUCUCCUCACACGCCUCAGCGCCCUCCCCUCCUCCCCGUGCCGCCGGCCCCCUUCCUUCUCCCCGCGCUAGAGCAGAGAUGCGCCUCAGUAGGGCAGCAGUAGCGUCUCCAUGGGUGCGGCGGCGUGACGGCUCCCAGGCACGGAUCCCCUCCUCCGCCUCCAUCCUCCACCUCUCCGGUCGCCCAGUUGCAACUUCCGUAGCAGCAGCAGGCGACCUGCAGCAGCUCCUUCCUACCUUCCAUGGACGAGCUCGACGGAGACACCGUCCAGCCCGACCACGGCCACGACUACCCCACGCACAAGAGGAAGGUUGAUUCAUUUGUCAAAUUCAUUCCACCGAAGCCAUCUGCUCCGUCCACCAACCCGCCCAGAAAGGUAGUUACAGUGAAUUGAUGUUCGCACUGAGGCCGGAGGCGAGAGGCGAGGGCACGGAGGUCGGUGGCAAGUGCUCAGGAGAGAAGAGGAAGGCGGCAGCGCUGGGCGGUGGCUGCGGUUUACACGAGAGCGAGGUGACCCGCCCAGAAAGGUAGUUACAGUGAAUUGAUGUUCAUAUGAACUUCAAUGCUGUGAACUUUUUAUUAGAUCUGAGUUGCAAUCCUCAAUUUUUUUAGGUUUGAGUAGCAAUGCUCCUGCUCUACUAGCUAUGACAUUUUCCAUGCUUUUUCUUCUAAUAUCCUAUAGCGUCCAUGCUUGUGGGUUCAACUUGACGAGCUUUUUUCACCUUCCAUCCCGUUUUAAGCUCUGUUGAUGGAUGAUUUCUGCCAUGUUUAUGGAGGGGGAGGACGCCAACUACUAGGAGAAGGAUCAGUUUAGCAAGUACAUGAUGUAAUUCUCUUAUGAUUAUGGGUAGAUGCCUCCUUUAUUUAGUUACCAGAGUUGUUCACUAUUGAAUAUGCAAAUUCAGCAUCCUUCAUAUAAUGGGAUCUUAUGAACUCUUUUUGAAGAUUGCUGAGAAGCGCAACCUUUUGAUCUUCGAGAACCGCAAGUUUGCUGACAUUGAAAACACAUUCAUUAUGCAAGACGAAUGGUGAGAAAUGUGUUAUUCCCUAUCCUUCCAUUCUAUUUGCAUAUUCGCGCAGUAUGCUUAGUUUUUUCCCAAGAUGAAUAUUCUACACAUGAGAGCAAUAUACUUGGUAUUAUUGAUGCUCAUAUAAUUCCUGGACCUGGAAUUGUUGAUGGCUUGAGGCUUAAAGUAUGUUAUGUGUUGCAUACCUAAUAAAUAUUAGCAAGCUAAUGUUGCAGCUUGACAGAUGCUGUGUUAACUUCUCCUUUUUCUGUUUUUCAAUAUCCACUUCGAACUGAGCAGCCAUGAUCCGGAUUUCCUCUAUGUAGCUAUGAGAUGCCUGCAGUUUGUUAUUGUGUAUCGUGUACUAAAACAUUGAUUAUUUGACAAUGAACACAUGGAAAUGCCUUAACUAUUCAACUUGCCUAGCUCAGUAUUUUAACCAAUAGAGAAGUUUUUUUUGUUGCUUUCCCUUUUGUUAGAUAUUUUGCUUUUUGUAUGUUGAGGGGAGAUGGAUAUGGCCUCGGGACUAAACGCACAGACCACAUGAAGUGAUCUGAUGGUAGGUAAAGUAUUUUUUAUUGGCAAUGCUAAUGUCUGGACCAGCUCAAUGGUUUUAACUCUAUGAUGUUCAGUUUAGCAUAUCACAUAUACAAAUUCAUAUAUACAAAUUGUGGUAGGCAACUCAUUAUUUAGACGACGCGACUAUUCCCUUGAUAAGGAGAGUCCCACCAUACUCAUGUGAGAGUUAGGCGUGGUAGUGGGUAGUGUUUUCUCAUCAUCCAUUAUGUGUUUCUUCUGUCUAGCUCGAAGUUGCUUAGUUAGAUAAUGAUUCGCAAAUUCCAGCAUUGCAUGUUGCCUGACACCUUUGCAUUAGCAUUGAAUUGCAGCCUGCAUUUUUGCAGCCCGCGAGGCGUGUAAAUGUUGGACUAUUGUUUCUCCGCUGAUGCACAUGUUUCGCCACACAGACAGUACUCUGUGUGUGUGUGAUCUCUGGAAUUAGUUUUUAUGUUUCUCUGUGUUUGAGUACUUUUGUAAUCUCCACGGGUGUGUUUCGUAUUUUCUAUGUAUCCUCUGUCAUUCGUUUAAGUGUUUGAUGUUUUCUUUUGUAGUUUUUGAUAUUUAGGUGCAGUCACGUUUCAUUUGUCGCAGACCUGCGCCCGUUAGGAAAAUCAUAGUUUCAUUUCGAUCAUGUUUCUUUAAGUUGUUCAGUGUUUGUUCAUUAUGUAGUAGAGCAAGCAGUACAUUUUGUCCAUCAGUUAAGUCACUCAUGUCACAUUCAGUUGAUUGAUUAGGUUUAGUUUUUGUUCCUUUCUCUUUGUUCCUUCAGUUUUUUGUUCCUUUAUUUAGUCAUUGUGCUUGCAUCAUUUGCCAGUAUUUUAGUCCAUCUCAAUAGACCCUAUGAUUCUUGAUAGUUUCUCUCUUUCGUAGAUCAGACUUUUCCACUUUGUUAGUUAGGCUAAUUUAUGAUUUUUUCAGUUUUUAGUCUUUACAUGAUUUAGUUGGACAGUGUGUUUGGUAUUUCAAUAGUUCAGUAGUUUCAUACUUUCAUUUAAUUAAAUAGUCUUGUUUUUAGUCUCAGUACUUCAGGUUUAGUUUCCAAACAAGUACUUUUUGACUCAUGUGGUUUUCGGUCUUUUGACUAUAUGUGGUUCUCAAUCUUUUCAUCUCUCGGUUUACUUGUCAUUCUUAAUUUAUCCGCCUUACUAUUCUCAGUCUUGUCAUUUUUAUAGAGGGUGACAAACUUUUCAUAAUUAUCAGUUGUAAUUUUCUAGUGUCUGCUCUCUCUUUCUUCAAUAUGCACUUCUAUCUUUUUCCUGUUUUCAUUCGUUCUUUCUUUAUCUUCAGUCCCUCAGUCUAUCUUGGAGGUAGGAGAUCGUUGUAUAAGUCUUGUCACUAUUUUCUAUUUUAUCCUAAUUACUUCACCCAUUGUUUGUAUCUCUAUUCCCUGUGACGCGAGGAGAUUUUUUGGGAGCUGCUUUAUUUAUUCCAUUACUUUUGUUCUCGAUUUUUCUGGAGUCCUUUGCUUCACUCUUUUGCCCCUGAUGGAAACAAGUAUACCUUUUUUCAGUUGCUUCAUUUUUAUGUUGCCUUGUGAUUUUUUCUUUGAGUCUUCUUGAUCAUUCACAUUUGAUGUCUAGAUAAUUAACCUCUACUCCUAUAACCUUUCCAGUCCUUGUUUAGUCAUUAUUUCCCCCUCUUUUUUCUGUAUGUAUAUUCAUAAUGUUCAUGCUUAGCUUCAGAAGUGAAUACUAAGUUCUCCAUUCACUAGAUUUUAUUGUUUCAUGAACAAGGUCUGGUUUUAACCUUAGGUUCAGUUACAUGCAUUCUGUUGCACACACUGUUUUUCGAUCUAUGUCGCUCUAUAGGAUGCAUUUAUUUUCCUCAGUUGUUUUCUUUUUGUUCUUGUGCUGUUUUUCGUAACUGGGACCAUAACACUCACACUUUUUUUGCAUGUAGUCUAUGUUCAUCUAGAAAAACCAAAGGAAGUAGCUUUUCAUUUGGAUAUCCCAAGCAUGGACUGACGAGAUUAUGGUUUGGCAAGCAGAGGUCCACUAGGACUGAGUGACGAACAAGCACAUGAAUGGCUGCAUCUUGUUCAAGCAUGGAUGGAAGAAAUUUCUCCUGAAAACAGGACUUGAGGUUUGGUAUGGAUGUACUUACAUUCAAGAUGACCUGUAACAACAUGAAAGUUGGCCUCCAUGACCUCUGAGAGGUUCAUAGGUCCUAAUUGAGGUUGUCUUCCGUUGAUUAUUUUUAUCGCUGCUAUGUUAGCUCUUUUGUGAGGGUCCAAUUUGGUGACCGCCUUAGAAAGAACAAGUUUCAACUAUUGCUAAAGCUAUUAAAUCAAAAGAUUAUUCUUACGUCAGGAGGUUUGCAUCCAAUCUCCUGAAGUUAAUUUGUUAAUAUAUGUGAUCAUGUACCAUGUGGUCCAUAGCAUAUAACACCUUUGUAGUUGACAUAUGUGGCCAAGGAUCUGUACUGAAACAUAUAGAGAAAUCAUCAGAGAUAAUACUAUGAAUGAGAAUGGACUUGGAAAUUGUGAUAAACCUUUCUUUAGGUGCACUUUCAUUCAGAAGGUGAUCCAGGUCUAUUGGAGCAGUACACGCCAAGUCGGUAACUGUAAUACAAGGCUUUAUGAAUCUAUCAAUUGAAGUGCAGAUCAACCAAAAUGUCAUAUACAAUGGUUGAAAGCUGAAGACUAAAGACCAUGGAGAAGAUUACACCAUCUUUUAUUCCAAGGAAAGAAACAACAUGGUCACUUGACUUUACAGACAACCUACUACUAUUAACUUCUGUUUAAUUGAUCGACAUCGCAUCUUUGUUAUUAGAUAUAUACUUAGGAACAUGCCUGUGAGUAUAUACUUAGUCUAUGUAUGCGAGACAUUUUUGUUUUGUUUUUCCCCUUAGUUCUAUCCAGAAAUGACUAUUUGUGUCUUUCUAUUUAUUCUGCACGAGCCCUUUUUUUGGAAUUCCUAUGUAUUUCUGACCUAUGUGGAUUUUACUGAUAAUAGAAGAGUUCAAGGGUUACUAACCUUAAAAUUGUCUAUAUAUUAUAAAUGACUAACUGAUAAUAGCAGAGUUCAAGGGUUUGUUAUGUUCUGCAAUUAGCAUUCAUUAGGAAACAAACGGCAACCCUCCAAACUUUUCAGCAACUUAUUCCUAUGUUUGGUGUCCUUUGAUAAUUGAUAGUAUGUUUCUCUUCGGAUAUAUACCUGAGUACUACACUUUUAACUUAUAUGUCCAUGGUCGUGCCUGAAGAUUGUUGUCAUGUUUUUGUGUGUUGUGCUGUCGCCAACUGUUAUCUGAAGCACCCCACUUAAAUGGGUAGGAUUACAGGGAACAUGCCUACUAUGGAUAUGGAGCUCAUUACAUGGCGGAUCAGUGCAAGUUACAUGCUUCAUGGGAAAGAUAGGAAGAAAUUUCUGCUUUGGUGUGAUGGUGGUCUAUGCAAACUGGAGAGAGGAAUGCGUUGAUUUUUGACAACCAGAAUACGUUGAUUCUGAGGUUAUGAGUUAGCUGAAAGCUAAUGGCUACUGGUUAGGAAUCAUUUAGGUCCUGGCCGUCUUUUGGACCUGCUUUAGUUGUACUCCCUCCGUUUUAAAAUAGAUGACUCAACUUUGUACUAACUUUAGUACAAAAUUAGUACAAAGUUGGAUCAUCUAUUUUGGAACGAAGGGAGUACUUGGCAGUUUCCCUGCGUUUUUCUAGACUACUUGUCGUUGAGUGCUGACCACCCUCUGUUGUUUCUGUCAUGCAACUCUCCUACAUGGUUAAAAAACUAAUUUAGACAUUUUGUUUCUUUAACCGUUACUCAUUUCUCUUA